AAUUAAUGCAUUUUGAAAAAUGUAAACUUUUCAGCCUCAGAAGUUUCACAACUGCAAGGAAGAUCUCUUGGCCGUCUUUUCUUUCCUGUCAAAGUGCGUGUGAAUUCCUUCCAGUCUGUGAGGGGACUCUUUCACCAAGGCUGACUGUCACCUUUUGGACCAGGCUCGCGCAGCAGGAAUAAUGAGCAACUAUUCUGCUCUGUUGCAGCAAACCAAACUAGGUUUACAAGAAAGAUCGACUCUCCGGGGUCAAGGCAGAGAUCCAGCUCAAGCUUUUCUCACCUGCUGUACACUCUCAAACACACUUUCUAAUUUCCUUACACAUGUCCCCAGUGUGUAGAGGUCACCAUGGCAAUCUUGUCUUCCACAGCAAAUGGUGGGAUGUUCUGACGAGCUCAUGACCAAAGUGUAUUGAUCUACAUGAUUUGAUGCCUGUUCUGGAGAAAAAUCUUGUUCUUCCUCGCUGAGAUCGCCUGUGAUCGAUAAGAUGAAACCAAUGGAAACAAACUUGAUAAAUUUACCCUCUGGUGAUAUUCAAA